CUUCUUUGGCUGCCUCAUUGCGAGUCCUCACUCCUCAGAUCCAAAAACUCCAUCCAUUCAACACUUCUCCAAUCUUAUAUAGGUAAAAAAUUGGACGCCCAAGAACCACAUCUUCACCGUCUCACAUCGCCGUCAUCGUUAGCUGCAACCACAGCCAUUCUGGAAAAUCCUAAUAUUUGUUGGAUCUGUCCAUUUGGGCUUUUCACUAUUGGACUUGUUUUCAGACCCAUUAUUUGUCUUGACCUAUUUUUUUAGGUCUGUGUAAAUUUGUAUUUGUUGAUUUAAGCCCAUUUAUUUUAUUUUUUUGUUUA